CCUUUUCAGGCUGAAACUGGAAAAGUUCACCUUUAGUCCUCGGCUCAUUCUCCCUUCCUUUCGGCUGGCCUGAUCCCUCCUCCAAAGUCCAUUUUUGGUCCCUCCUUCAAUCCGGCCUAGUAAAGGAAGCUCACAGAGAAAGUCUACCUUACGUCCCUAGUACUGUUCAUCUUCAACCCCUGGCUGCCAAACUGAGACCGAGUUGGCUCGGUUUUUCUCCUCCGAAUCCGGCCUUAUCUCUCGUGCAUUCCUAAAAUUAGUUGAGGGGAAAUAUUCCUCUUAUCCUCCUCUAUCUCUUCCACCAAAAAUCCGACUUUAUCCCUUUGAAUUCGACGCGAAUUUGGAUUCGUUUUCGAGUUUAUCUCUCCACCAAACCCUAGGUUUUCCCGGCGCGAUUCUUUGCGUUCCAAGCCUGAUCUCUCUCUCCCGUGGCUAUAAAUAGUGUCCCCUCCCUCUCCUCUUUCGGCCGCCACCUCUCCCUCUCUCCACCGUCGCUUGUAGCGCCGUCGCCGCGUUCGUCUUCUCUCUCCGCCGCCGGCAGCCGCUCCAGCCGCCGUUUGCCGCCGCCUCAGCCGACGCCCUCCUGUGCCACCACAUCUCUCGGCUCCGCAAGGUCAAGAGCAAGCCCAGCAGCUGGUUCCCUUGCGCCGAAGACCCCGGGAAGCCCGUCGUCGCCAUCAACCCGAAGUCCAUUGGAUUCGCAGCUGCGAAGUGAAGCCCGGCCACCCUUCCAUUGUCGCCGAAGGUCGCCGAAACGCCGUCGCCACCGUGGACAGUACCUCGUCGCCUUUUGGAGCUUGUCGCCGGCCAUCUCCCGUCGCUGUUUCUCGUUGCCGCCACCACAGAGUCGCCGGCCGUCUUCCGUCGCUGUCCGUCAUCACGUAAGGGUUGGUAAGAAUCGCCGUCGCCUCCUCUACCUCCCGGUGCCCUCUGUUUGCAUUAUUGUGUCGUGGUUCGCCGGCAACCGCCGCUCUUAUGUCGUUCACCGGUGUAGUUUAUCCCUAGGGUCUUAAUCCAAUAUAAUCUAAUCCGUGGUUGGUCUAGCGUUGUCAUCUCCGUGUGUUGCUGCUGGAACGUUGUCAUCAUCCCUUCGUCUCCGAUCACUUUGGUUCGCUUGUUGUUUCCGUCGUUGCGAAAGGUUCGCGAGUGCGUCGGAAGUGGUUCUGAAGACUA